GAGUUUGAUCAUGGCUCAGAUUGAACGCUGGCGGCAUGCCUUACACAUGCAAGUCGAACGGCAGCAUGAUCUAGCUUGCUAGAUUGAUGGCGAGUGGCGAACGGGUGAGUAAUACAUCGGAACGUGCCCUGUAGUGGGGGAUAACUAGUCGAAAGAUUAGCUAAUACCGCAUACGACCUGAGGGUGAAAGUGGGGGACCGCAAGGCCUCAUGCUAUAGGAGCGGCCGAUGUCUGAUUAGCUAGUUGGUGGGGUAAAGGCCCACCAAGGCGACGAUCAGUAGCUGGUCUGAGAGGACGAUCAGCCACACUGGGACUGAGACACGGCCCAGACUCCUACGGGAGGCAGCAGUGGGAAUUUUGGACAAUGGCGAAAGCCUGAUCCAGCAAUGCCGCGUGUGUG
rnacentral:rRNA from 1 species